rnacentral:lncRNA from 1 species
UUUAUUUUUUAUUUUAUUAUUUUUUAGAUUUUAUUUAUUUUAUGAGAGACACACAGAGAGAGGCAGAGACACAGGCAGAGGGAGAAGCAGGCUCCCUGCAGGGAGCCUGCCCGGGACUCAAUGGGACUCGAUGCUCGAUGCCUCGUUGGGGAUCAGGCCCUGAGCCCAAGGCAGAUGCUCAACCGCAGAGUAGCAGAGUCACUCAGGCGUCCCUCAAAUUCUUUGAUGAUGCUUCUUUUCUUUUCUUCCUUCCUUCCUUCCUUGAUUUUAUUUAUUUAUUCAUGAGAAACACACACACACAGACCCAGGCCGAGCGAGAAGCAGGCUCCAUGCAGGGAGCCCGAUGUGGGACUUGAUCCCGGGACUCCAGGAUCACACCCUGGGCCGAAGGCAGAUGCUCAACGGCCGAGCCACCCAGGGAUUCCUGUCUCUCUUCUCUUCUUUUCUUUCUCUCUUUCUUUCCUUCUUUCUUGCUUGCUUUUUUUUUUCUCGUUCUUUCUUCUUUCUCUUUCUCUUCCUUCUCUUCUUUCUCUCUGUCUCUCCCCUUCUCUCUCUGUCUCUUCUCUCUUUCUCUUUUUUCUCUCUUUUUUUUCUCUCUCCCUUUCUCUCUUUUUAGUCUCUCCGUCUCUCUUCUUUCUCUCUCUCCUUUCUCUUUCUCAUUCUUUCUCUGUCCUUUUCUCUCUCUCUCUUUCUUUCUCUCUCCCUUUCUCUCUCCUGUCUCCCCCCGUCUCUCUCUUCUUUCUCUCUUUCUCUGCUUUCUCUCUCUCUCCCUUUCUGUCUGUCCCUUUCUCUGUCUCUUCUUUCUUUCUCUCUCCUUUCUCUCCUGUUCUUUCUUUCUCUCUCUCCCUUCUUUCUCUCUCUCCUUUCUCUCUUUGUCUCCUUCUCUUUCUCUCUCCACCUUUUCUUUCUCUCCUUUCUCUCUCCUCUCUCUCUCUCUCUCUCUUUCUUUCUCCUGUUCUCUCUUCUUUCUGUCUCUUCUUUCUCUCUCUGUCUCUCUCCCUUCUUUCUCUCUCUCUGUCUCCUUUUCUCUCUCUCUGUCUCCUUUCUCUCUCCCUUUGUCUCCUUCUCUCUCUCUCCCUCCCUCCCUCUGUCUGUCUCCCUCUCUCCUUCUCCGACAGCGCGGAGGCCGAGAGCCGGCUUCCCUCCGUCCCCCGCCGAGCCGGGAGCCCCGCGCAUCCCUCGAGCUCUGGCGCCGGCUGGUGGCGGGAGAGGGAAGCCGCGCGCUCGCCCCGCUCGGCGGCCCCCGCCCCCCGCCCCCCGGCCCCCGACCUCCCCGGCCCCCGCCCCCCGGCCCCCCGACCUCCCCGACCUCCGGCCCCCGGUGCCCCGCCCCCCCGGCCCCCCGCCCCCCCCCGAUCCCCCCGGCCCCCGGUGCCCCGUCGGGGCGGCCUCGCGCCCAGCGGAGCGGCAGGCGGUGGCGGGCGCCCUGGUGGAGCCGCGCGCACGUUGCUGCCGGGACCGCCGCGGCGAUGGAGCAGCUGCAUCUGUCGAGGCCGCUUAGUCCUUUUCCGUCGGUGGAGACGCUGGGACACGGGCCUGGGACACGUGGGCGCCCAGGGCCUCGUCGCAGCCGCAGCGCCCGAGACGCACAGGUGGAUUAUCAAGAAACAAGGAAGGCUAUGCUAAUGGAAUCAUCAGGAAACUACUUAUAAACUUCUUGAUAGAUAAUUCUAUGAAAUAUGAUUCUCAGCCACUCAUCUUUAUCCUCUACCUUCUCACCAUUAGGAUUAAGGUAUUUACAAUGCUCAACAAACAGUAUCCUUUCUGUAAUAAAAUGAUCAGUUAUUUAAAAUUUAUUUAAAUUAUUUAAAAACCAAACCAUGCUCGUGUAACAUCUCAUAAUUCUAUUGAAGAAAUACUUUCUUAUUUGAUAAGUUUGGAAAACAAAUUUUCAAAUAAGCAAUGUUUCUUUUCUUGUCAUGUGAAAAUGGCUAAUUCAUUUUGUUUUUGAGCUGGUAUGGAUCCAGAAAUACCUCUUAGGAAAAAUCCUGGCUUUGCCUGCAGGUUCUUCUUGGUCCAAUUCUGCAUAUAGAAUGGCCAGGAUCUUUCCAGACUCCCCAUUGUUUCCCAAAGAUAUCAAUUUUACCAUCAGUUCAUUUGAUUGUUAAUGCUUACAGAUUCACUUCAAGGAAUAUUUGUGAUUCAGGUCAUUGCCUAAAAGUACUUGUUGUUCAACUCCUAUCAAUCCUUACUAGUUUAAAGCAGAGGUUGGCAAAGCUUUUCAGUAAAGGGUCAGAUAGAAAAUAUUUCAGUUUUGCCAGUUAUAUGGUCUCUGUGGUAACUAUUCAACCCAAUAAAACUUUAUUUAUGGAGACCAAAACUUGAAUUUUAUGUAAUUUUUAAAUGUUACAAACUAUUAUUCCUCUUUUGAUUUUUUUUCAGCCAUGAAGCAGAUGGAAAAAUUAUCUUAUCUUGUGAACCAUGUGAAAACAGGCAAUGAGAUAGACUUAGCCUGUAGGCUAUAAUUUGCUGAACCUUGGUAUAGAAAAUUAUUUAUGAGGAAAUAUUGGAAAGACACAACUGAUAAUUUGUGGUUGAGAGUACUCUAAGUUCCAGCCAGUGGAAUGUGAGCAGAAGUGAUGUGUUGUUGCCACUGGGCUUGGCCCAUAAAAACUUCCCAUGAAUGCUGCUUUUUGUUCUUUUCCCAUAUGUUGAAUAUGGUGGGGACUCAAGAUGGAAGAAACCUGGUUCUCAUUUUGGCUUUACAUGAAUAAGAAACAAACUUCUAGGGCUGCCUGACUGGCUCAGUCUGUACACCAUAACUCUUGAUCUCAAGGUUGUGAAUUCAAGCCCCAUGUUGGUCUUGAAGCCUACCAAAAAAAGAAAAAAAAAAAAAAGGAAGAAAAGGAGAAAGAAGAAAGAAAGAAAGAAAGAAAGAAAGAAAGAAAGAAAGAAAGAAAGAAAGAAAGAAAGAAAGAAGAAAGAGACAGAAAGAAAGAGAGAGAAAGAAAGAAACUUGCAUUCCCAAAUUACCCAAAUUCAGUGUUAAGCCACUGAGAUUUUCAGGGCUUUUUAUUUGAGUAACUAGUAUUAUCUUAACUAAUAUGUCAUUAUUUCUUCCAGAUGUUUUUGGUUUGACUGUUAUCCUAAAUCGAAGUCUCAAAUGCUACAAGCUUGGAUGGACUUUUCUUUGGUCUCUUUCUCUCCUCUUCAUUUCCUCCUUUUCACAUUUAACUGGCAGAUGAGAGAUAGAAUUGCUUUCCAAGUUCGAGAAUAUACUUUGGUGGCCAUUAGCUUCUCCAAAAAUGCUACAAGAAAUGAGACACUUUGCUUUGCCACAGAGACUGUCCCCAACAUGAAGCCCACCUGAGAAAUUCUUUUAGAACUCAGGGCCAGGAAAAGCUUAUCUUCCCCUGAGGAACUUGUAUGUUUUCUUAUCAACAAAGAAUAUUGUUGACUGUGCCUGAUUGUAUCCCCUUUCCCUUUUCCCUCUGGUUGCCAAGAAGCUCAGAGCCAAAUUUUUGCUUAACAUUAAUAACUUUAUCGAACCCUGUGGCCUACAUAUCUGCAUUCUUAGUUUCCUCCUGGUCUUGACCUUCUACUCUGCUGUGUGUUUUCCUUGUUUCUGAUUUUUUGGUUAUUUAUAUUUUAUUGCUUGUUUUCUUGUAAGCUUCCUCAGAUCCUUUGUGGAACAAGGUGGGGUCAAUAAAAAAUGGCUUCAGCUUAUUAAUAGAAUAUACCAAAAGCAUUCCUUUUUUUUUUUUUUUUAAGAUUUUCUUUAUUCAUGAGAGACACAGAGAGAGAGGGAUGCAGAGACAUAGGCAGAGGGAGAAGCAGGCUCCACGCAGGGAGCCCGAUUUGGGACUUGAUCCCAGGACCCCAGGAUCAAGCCCUGAGCUGAAGGCAGAUGCUCAACUGCUGAGCAACCUAGGCAUCCCCCAAAGCAUUCCUUAAUCACCAAUUUAGUUCUUUGGGAAUGAGAACUUCAAAUUUAUUUAUUUUCAGGUUCUCCUCUUAUUGUGUCCCAUGGUUUGAUGAAGAAAUGGUUUUAUAAUUAUGAAAGCUGAAGGCCUUCACAUUUCUCCAUUCUACUUAAAAAACAAAAAAAACAAAAACAAAAAAAAACAAGAAUGUCAUUUUAUCCAAAGUUCCUAUUGUUUGCCAUAGAAAUUGUAGAAAGGUCAUAGAUACAUUUGACUGACAGACGAUAGACUAGGAAAAGAUAUUUUCAAUAUUUAAAAGCCACAAAGAAUUAAUAUAAAGAAUUAUAUAAGAAUUAUAUAAGAAUUAUAUAAAGAAUAUAUAAUGAC